AUUGAACGCUGGCGGCAUGCCUUACACAUGCAAGUCGAACGGCAGCACGGGAGCAAUCCUGGUGGCGAGUGGCGAACGGGUGAGUAAUAUAUCGGAACGUGCCCAGUAGUGGGGGAUAACUGCUCGAAAGAGCAGCUAAUACCGCAUACGACCUGAGGGUGAAAGGGGGGGAUCGCAAGACCUCUCGCUAUUGGAGCGGCCGAUAUCAGAUUAGCUAGUUGGUGGGGUAAAGGCCUACCAAGGCAACGAUCUGUAGUUGGUCUGAGAGGACGACCAGCCACACUGGGAAUGAGACACGGCCCAGAAUCCGACGGGGGGAAGCAGUGGGGAAUUUUGGACAAUGGGCGCAAGCAUGAUCGAGCAAUGCGGCGUGCAGGAAGAAGGCCUUCGGGUUGUAAACUGCUUUUGUCAGGGAAGAAAUCCUCUAGGUUAAUACCCUUGGGGGGAUGACGGUACCUGAAGAAUAAGCACCGGCUAACUACGUGCCAGCCGCCGCCGUAAUAC
rnacentral:rRNA from 1 species